rnacentral:rRNA from 1 species
GCUUGUCUCAAAGAUUAAGCCAUGCAAGCCCAGAAUAAGCAUUAUUCACGGCAAAUCUGCGAAUGGCUCAUUAAAUCAGUUAUAGUUUAUUUGAUAGUGUUUACUACAUGGAUAUCCGUAGUAAUUCUAGGGCUAAUACAUGCACGCAAAGCCGACUUUUUGGAAGGCUUGUAUUUAUUAGGUAAAAACCAACCGUGUGCUGUUCGCAAGGGCGGUGCACGUACGGUGAUCCAUAAUAACUGCGCGAAUCGUAUGCCUCACGGCGACGAUGAAUCAUUCAAAUUUCUGCCCUAUCAACUUUGGACGGUAAGAUAGAGGCUUACCGUGGUCGUCACGGGUAGCGGAGGAUUAGGGUCUGACUCCGGAGAGGGAGCUUUAGAAACGGCCGCCACUUCCAAGGAAGGCAGCAGG